rfam:Candidatus Nanopusillus sp. Nst1 Nst1_C1, whole genome shotgun sequence.
GGACCCGUAGCUCAGCAUGGAUAGAGCGACGGCCUUCUAAGCCGUAGGUCGGGGGUUCGAAUCCCCCCGGGUCCG